rnacentral:tRNA from 1 species
CGCGGGAUGGAGCAGCUAGGUAGUUCGUCGGGCUCAAAACCCGAAGGUCGUAGGUUCAAAUCCUGCUCCCGCAA